UAGGGAUGGCAGGCGGGCGGGUUUUCGCGGGUAUCCGAUCCGUCCAAACCCUAUUAGGACGGAUUUGGGUAUUUACAAAACGGAUUUGGGCGGAUUCGGAUUUGAAAAAUUUUACCCGCCUCGGAUUCGGGUAGGGUUCGGGGUUAGGUGAUCGGAUACCCGUUACCCGAACCCGAUUAGCUAUACUUCAAAACUAACCCUAAAUUCCCUUAUCCCUAAUUCAUUUUCUUAUUUUACUCGACCUUCUCUUUGCGCCUCUCUCCCCCCUUCCCUUCCCAUAAUUUCCAAUCGACACCUCUCCCCCACUUCACUGACGACUGCCGGCAGCCCAGUUGGCACCGGCGACAUCUCCUUCUCUCUCUCCAGUCGGCGAUAUCUCCCACUUCCCAGUCAAUGCCUCCCUCCCCCACUUCCGGUCAGCGAUAUCUCCUUCUCUCUCUCUAGUGUGGCGACAUCUCCCACUUCCCAGUCGGAGACAACUCUUCCCUCUCCUCGGUUGGCAUCGGCGACAUCUCCUUCUCUCUCCACAGUCAGUGACAUCUACUCGUUCCUCUCUCCCCCACUUCACUGACGACUGGAGACAACCCGUGCCUCUCCCCAAUCGGCGUCAGUGACAUCUUCUUUUACUGAAAUCUCUUCGGGAUAUUUAAAAUGUCAACGUUUAAUAGUUUCGAAGAUGUAGCGAGUUGUAAAGCUACUACUGUUUCUCAACCUUCUUCAACCACUCAGCCCGCUAAUAGUUCCAUCCAUUCUCAAUUGGAGCCAUCUACACCAAUCUAUCCCUCUCAUUCACUGCCAGCCGCUUCAGAAAUUGAAGCUGGUUGUUCAAAUGAGAGUAAAUCUUGUUUAUGGGAUGCUGAGGAUGAUGUGAAUUAAAUCAUGCAUUUCACAAUUUUAAUAUCUUUUCAAGCACAAUUUGAUGUUGGAGAUUGAAAUGACCAAUUAAAUAUAUUUU